CCAGACCUGACUGCUAUCGGAUUGAUACUAAGCCAUGCGAGUCAUUGUAGUAAUACAAGGCAUACGGCUCAGUAACGCGUAGUCAACCUAACCUAUGGACGGGAAUAACCUCGGGAAACUGAGUAUAAUGCCCGAUAGAACAUUAUGCCUGGAAUGGUUUAUGUUCCAAAUGAUUUAUCGCCGUAGGAUGGGACUGCGGCCUAUCAGUUUGUUGGUGAGGUAAUGGCCCACCAAGACUAUUACAGGUACGGGCUCUGAGAGGAGUAGCCCGGAGAUGGGUACUGAGACACGGACCCAGGCCCUAUGGGGCGCAGCAGGCGAGAAAACUUUGCAAUGUGCGAAAGCACGACAAGGUUAAUCCGAGUGGUUUCUGCUAAAGGAACCUUUUGUUAGUCCUAGAAACACUAACGAAUAAGGGGUGGGCAAGUUCUGGUGUCAGCCGCCGCGGUAAAACCAGCACCUCAAGUGGUCAGGAUGAUUAUUGGGCCUAAAGCAUCCGUAGCCGGCUCUGUAAGUUUUCGGUUAAAUCUGUACGCUCAACGUACAGGCUGCCGGGAAUACUGCAGAGCUAGGGAGUGGGAGAGGUAGACGGUACUCGGGAGGAAGGGGUAAAAUCCUUUGAUCUCUCGAUGACCACCUGUGGCGAAGGCGGUCUACCAGAACACGUCCGACGGUGAGGGAUGAAAGCUGGGGGAGCAAACCGGAUUAGAUACCCGGGUAGUCCCAGCUGUAAACUAUGCAAACUCAGUGAUGCAUUGACUUGUGGUCAAUGCAGUGCUGCAGGGAAGCCGUUAAGUUUGCCGCCUGGGAAGUACGUACGCAAGUAUGAAACUUAAAGGAAUUGGCGGGGGAGCACCACAAGGGGUGAAGCCUGCGGUUCAAUUGGAUUCAACGCCGGG
rnacentral:rRNA from 1 species